rnacentral:rRNA from 3 species
UGCGACCCCAGGUCAGGCGGGACUACCCGCUGAGUUUAAGCAUAUCAAU